GGGGUAAAUAACCCAAAUACCACCUGUAACAUGUUAUAUGGUAGUACUAAAACCAUAGUACAAUCUAUUGUACAAUCGUGAAGUAAACAACAGAGCGAUUAUAUGCCAACAGAUUAGUUAAAGUGCUCUGUCUUACUUUAAGCUUUUGUUUAUUCUUUCUUAAGCUUUGUUCUAUUGUUUUGUUUUGUUAGUUUUAUCCUUUCUUUUAUAUUAAAUAAUUUUAUUUUUAUCUGUUCUUAGUUAAACUUAGUUCUGUACAUUUUACUUUGUUUAUAUUUUACUUACUAUAUUUUUCUUAGUUAAGUUUUAUUUCUUUCUUUUUCAUUUUGGUUUAUUCUACUCUUACUUAUUUUAUUUACUGCAGCC
rnacentral:lncRNA from 1 species